UACGGAGGGUGCAAGCGUUAUCCGGAUUCACUGGGUUUAAAGGGUGCGUAGGUGGGUCUGUAAGUCAGUGGUGAAAUCUCCGAGCUUAACUCGGAAACUGCCGUUGAUACUAUCUGUCUUGAAUAUAGUGGAGGUGAGCGGAAUAUGUCAUGUAGCGGUGAAAUGCUUAGAUAUGACAUAGAACACCCAUUGCGAAGGCAGCUCGCUACACUAUCAUUGACGCUGAGGCACGAAAGCGUGGGGAUCAAACAGG
rnacentral:rRNA from 1 species